rnacentral:rRNA from 1 species
AUGAUUGAAGGUGAAUAUGACCAUAAGGUCAUAGGUUUUUAUGGUACCUUGAAAGAAAUCAUUGAGUUAGAUUAUAACUUGAAAGAUAGGUCAGUUCUUUUGUUUAAAUGUGGCUGGUUUAAACACGAUGGAAAGAAGACUGAACUUAAAAAUGAUGUUUUUUUUCAAAAGUAUACAUGUUGGAAGUUUGUGGUACAAUGA